GCGGCCCGACUAAAACCGUGGGUGUGAUGCUCGUUAUAAGAUUUCAAUUGUUUUCACUUGUUAGUCACUACUAUAGCCAACACGUUUCUACAUUGUCCUGUAGAAUUUGUACUGGUGAACACAUCUUGAUUUUAUGAUAGGGCUUUUGCGAUAUAAUAAUUUAUUAGAAGAAAAGAAGACAUUAAGCAACAGAUGCAAGAAGUUAGUGAGGAUGACUAUCCUGCAGUUUCAGAUAGAAGUUUAUUAGAAAGAAUUUAUUAUCAUCAUGGUCUUUUCUGUGCCAAUCAUCCUGGUGUGAUUAUAUGCAUUUGUGCAGUUUUUGUAUUUACAUGCAGAAUGGAAUGAGACAAUAUCAGCAAAGAAUGUAAAUGAAAAUAAGCC